rnacentral:rRNA from 1 species
GGUUAAGCGACUAAGCGUACACGGUGGAUGCCCUGGCAGUCAGAGGCGAUGAAGGACGUGCUAAUCUGCGAAAAGCGUCGGUAAGGUGAUAUGAACCGUUAUAACCGGCGAUGUCCGAAUGGGGAAACCCAGUGUGUUUCGACACACUAUCAUUAACUGAAUCCAUAGGUUAAUGAGGCGAACCGGGGGAACUGAAACAUCUAAGUACCCCGAGGAAAAGAAAUCAACCGAGAUUCCCCCAGUAGCGGCGAGCGAACGGGGAGGAGCCCAGAGCCUGAAUCAGUGUGUGUGUUAGUGGAAGCGUCUGGAAAGGCGUGCGAUACAGGGUGACAGCCCCGUACACAAAAAUGCACAUGCUGUGAGCUCGAUGAGUAGGGCGGGACACGUGGUAUCCUGUCUGAAUAUGGGGGGACCAUCCUCCAAGGCUAAAUACUCCUGACUGACCGAUAGUGAACCAGUACCGUGAGGGAAAGGCGAAAAGAACCCCGGCGAGGGGAGUGAAAAAGAACCUGAAACCGUGUACGUACAAGCAGUGGGAGCCUCUUUAUGGGGUGACUGCGUACCUUUUGUAUAAUGGGUCAGCGACUUAUAUUCUGUAGCAAGGUUAACCGAAUAGGGGAGCCGGAGGGAAACCGAGUCUUAACUGGGCGUUAAGUUGCAGGGUAUAGACCCGAAACCCGGUGAUCUAGCCAUGGGCAGGUUGAAGGUUGGGUAACACUAACUGGAGGACCGAACCGACUAAUGUUGAAAAAUUAGCGGAUGACUUGUGGCUGGGGGUGAAAGGCCAAUCAAACCGGGAGAUAGCUGGUUCUCCCCGAAAGCUAUUUAGGUAGCGCCUCGUGAAUUCAUCUCCGGGGGUAGAGCACUGUUUCGGCAAGGGGGUCAUCCCGACUUACCAACCCGAUGCAAACUGCGAAUACCGGAGAAUGUUAUCACGGGAGACACACGGCGGGUGCUAACGUCCGUCGUGAAGAGGGAAACAACCCAGACCGCCAGCUAAGGUCCCAAAGUCAUGGUUAAGUGGGAAACGAUGUGGGAAGGCCCAGACAGCCAGGAUGUUGGCUUAGAAGCAGCCAUCAUUUAAAGAAAGCGUAAUAGCUCACUGGUCGAGUCGGCCUGCGCGGAAGAUGUAACGGGGCUAAACCAUGCACCGAAGCUGCGGCAGCGACGCUGAUGCGUUGUUGGGUAGGGGAGCGUUCUGUAAGCCUGCGAAGGUGUACUGUGAGGUAUGCUGGAGGUAUCAGAAGUGCGAAUGCUGACAUAAGUAACGAUAAAGCGGGUGAAAAGCCCGCUCGCCGGAAGACCAAGGGUUCCUGUCCAACGUUAAUCGGGGCAGGGUGAGUCGACCCCUAAGGCGAGGCCGAAAGGCGUAGUCGAUGGGAAACAGGUUAAUAUUCCUGUACUUGGUGUUACUGCGAAGGGGGGACGGAGAAGGCUAUGUUGGCCGGGCGACGGUUGUCCCGGUUUAAGCGUGUAGGCUGGUUUUCCAGGCAAAUCCGGAGAAUCAAGGCUGAGGCGUGAUGACGAGGCACUACGGUGCUGAAGCAACAAAUGCCCUGCUUCCAGGAAAAGCCUCUAAGCAUCAGGUAACAUCAAAUCGUACCCCAAACCGACACAGGUGGUCAGGUAGAGAAUACCAAGGCGCUUGAGAGAACUCGGGUGAAGGAACUAGGCAAAAUGGUGCCGUAACUUCGGGAGAAGGCACGCUGAUAUGUAGGUGAAGCGACUUGCUCGUGGAGCUGAAAUCAGUCGAAGAUACCAGCUGGCUGCAACUGUUUAUUAAAAACACAGCACUGUGCAAACACGAAAGUGGACGUAUACGGUGUGACGCCUGCCCGGUGCCGGAAGGUUAAUUGAUGGGGUCAGCGCAAGCGAAGCUCUUGAUCGAAGCCCCGGUAAACGGCGGCCGUAACUAUAACGGUCCUAAGGUAGCGAAAUUCCUUGUCGGGUAAGUUCCGACCUGCACGAAUGGCGUAAUGAUGGCCAGGCUGUCUCCACCCGAGACUCAGUGAAAUUGAACUCGCUGUGAAGAUGCAGUGUACCCGCGGCAAGACGGAAAGACCCCGUGAACCUUUACUAUAGCUUGACACUGAACACUGGUCCUUGAUGUGUAGGAUAGGUGGGAGGCUUUGAAGUGUGGACGCCAGUCUGCGUGGAGCCGUCCUUGAAAUACCACCCUUUAAUGGCUGGUGUUCUAACGUUGGCCCCUUAUCGGGGUUGCGGACAGUGUCUGGUGGGUAGUUUGACUGGGGCGGUCUCCUCCUAAAGAGUAACGGAGGAGCACGAAGGUUGGCUAAUCCUGGUCGGACAUCAGGAGGUUAGUGCAAUGGCAUAAGCCAGCUUGACUGCGAGCGUGACGGCGCGAGCAGGUGCGAAAGCAGGUCAUAGUGAUCCGGUGGUUCUGAAUGGAAGGGCCAUCGCUCAACGGAUAAAAGGUACUCCGGGGAUAACAGGCUGAUACCGCCCAAGAGUUCAUAUCGACGGCGGUGUUUGGCACCUCGAUGUCGGCUCAUCACAUCCUGGGGCUGAAGUAGGUCCCAAGGGUAUGGCUGUUCGCCAUUUAAAGUGGUACGCGAGCUGGGUUUAGAACGUCGUGAGACAGUUCGGUCCCUAUCUGCCGUGGGCGCUGGAGAACUGAGGGGGGCUGCUCCUAGUACGAGAGGACCGGAGUGGACGCAUCACUGGUGUUCGGGUUGUCAUGCCAAUGGCACUGCCCGGUAGCUAAAUGCGGAAGAGAUAAGUGCUGAAAGCAUCUAAGCACGAAACUUGCCCCGAGAUGAGUUCUCCCUGAGACAUUAAGUCUCCUGAAGGAACGUUGAAGACGACGACGUUGAUAGGCCGGGUGUGUAAGCGCAGCGAUGCGUUGAGCUAACCGGUACUAAUGAACCGUGAGGCUUAACCUU